AUUGAACGCUGGCGGCAGGCUUAACACAUGCAAGUCGGGCGGGGUGAUGGUGCUUGCACUAUCACUUAGCGGCGGACGGGUGAGUAAUGCUUAGGAAUCUGCCUAUUAGUGGGGGACAACAUCUCGAAAGGGAUGCUAAUACCGCAUACGUCCUACGGGAGAAAGCAGGGGAUCACUUGUGACCUUGCGCUAAUAGAUGAGCCUAAGUCGGAUUAGCUAGUUGGUGGGGUAAAGGCCUACCAAGGCGACGAUCUGUAGCGGGUCUGAGAGGAUGAGCCGCCACACUGGGACUGAGACACGGCCAAGACUCCUACGGGAGGCAGCAGUGGGGAAUAUUGGACAAUGGGGGGAACCCUGAUCCAGCCAUGCCGCGUGUGUGAAGAAGGCCUUAUGGUUGUAAAGCACUUUAAGCGAGGAGGAGGCUCUUUUGGUUAAUACCCAAGAUGAGUGGACGUUACUCGCAGAAUAAGCACCGGCUAACUCUGUGCCAGCCGCCCCCGUAA
rnacentral:rRNA from 1 species